rnacentral:misc_RNA from 1 species
UCCGUGUUAACCACGGCAGUCUCCCUAGAGUGCCCAACUUAAUGCUGGCAACUAAGGACAAGGGUUGCGCUCGUUGCGGGACUUAACCCAACAUGUCACCACACGAGCUGACGACAGCCAUGCAGCACCUGUCUUCUGGUCGUAUUGCUACGAAAGCCGUAUCUCUACGGUUGUCCAGAGAUGUCAAGCCCUGGUAAGGUUCUUCGCGUUGCGUCGAAUUAAUCCACAUCAUCCACCGCUUGUGCGGGUCCCCGUCAAUUCCUUUGAGUUUUAGCCUUGCGGCCGUACUCCCCAGGCGGUCAACUUCACGCGUUAGCUUCGUUACUGAACAGCAAGCCGUCCAACAACCAGUUGACAUCGUUUAGGGCGUGGACUAC